GAGUUUGAUCAUGGCUCAGAGCGAACGUUAGCGGCGCGCCUAACACAUGCAAGUCGCACGGAGUAGCAAUACUCAGUGGCGCACGGGUGCGUAACACGUAGAUAAUCUGCCCUUCAGCGGGGGAUAACGUUCCGAAAGGAGCGCUAAUACCGCAUACAGCGUCGAGUGGUUCGCCAUUUGACGGCAAAGGCUGGGAUCGCAAGACCAGUCACUGAAGGAGGAGUCUGCGGCCCAUCAGCUAGUUGGGGAGGUAAUGGCUCACCAAGGCAAAGACGGGUAGCUGGUCUGAGAGGAUGAUCAGCCACACUGGUACUGGAACACGGACCAGACUCCUACGGGAGGCAGCAGUGGGGAAUCUUGGUCAAUGGGCGCAAGCCUGAACCAGCGACGCCGCGUGAGUGAUGAAGGCCUUC
rnacentral:rRNA from 1 species